UUUGAGUGAGUGGCGAACUGGUGAGUAACACGUGGGAAACCUGCCCAGAAGCGGGGGAUAACACCUGGAAACAGAUGCUAAUACCGCAUAACAACUUGGACCGCAUGGUCCGAGCUUGAAAGAUGGCUUCGGCUAUCACUUUUGGAUGGUCCCGCGGCGUAUUAGCUAGAUGGUGGGGUAACGGCUCACCAUGGCAAUGAUACGUAGCCGACCUGAGAGGGUAAUCGGCCACAUUGGGACUGAGACACGGCCCAAACUCCUACGGGAGGCAGCAGUAGGGAAUCUUCCACAAUGGACGAAAGUCUGAUGGAGCAACGCCGCGUGAGUGAAGAAGGGUUUCGGCUCGUAAAACUCUGUUGUUAAAGAAGAACAUAUCUGAGAGUAACUGUUCAGGUAUUGACGGUAUUUAACCAGAAAGCCACGGCUAACUACGUGCCAGCAGCCGCGGUAAUACGUAGGUGGCAAGCGUUGUCCGGAUUUAUUGGGCGUAAAGCGAGCGCAGGCGGUUUUUUAAGUCUGAUGUGAAAGCCUUCGGCUCAACCGAAGAAGUGCAUCGGAAACUGGGAAACUUGAGUGCAGAAGAGGACAGUGGAACUCCAUGUGUAGCGGUGAAAUGCGUAGAUAUAUGGAAGAACACCAGUGGCGAAGGCGGCUGUCUGGUCUGUAACUGACGCUGAGGCUCGAAAGUAUGGGUAGCAAACAGGAUUAGAUACCCUGGUAGUCCAUACCGUAAACGAUGAAUGCUAAGUGUUGGAGGGUUUCCGCCCUUCAGUGCUGCAGCUAACGCAUUAAGCAUUCCGCCUGGGGAGUACGGCCGCAAGGCUGAAACUCAAAGGAAUUGACGGGGGCCCGCACAAGCGGUGGAGCAUGUGGUUUAAUUCGAAGCUACGCGAAGAACCUUACCAGGUCUUGACAUACUAUGCAAAUCUAAGAGAUUAGACGUUCCCUUCGGGGACAUGGAUACAGGUGGUGCAUGGUUGUCGUCAGCUCGUGUCGUGAGAUGUUGGGUUAAGUCCCGCAACGAGCGCAACCCUUAUUAUCAGUUGCCAGCAUUAAGUUGGGCACUCUGGUGAGACUGCCGGUGACAAACCGGAGGAAGGUGGGGAUGACGUCAAAUCAUCAUGCCCCUUAUGACCUGGGCUACACACGUGCUACAAUGGAUGGUACAACGAGUUGCGAACUCGCGAGAGUAAGCUAAUCUCUUAAAGCCAUUCUCAGUUCGGAUUGUAGGCUGCAACUCGCCUACAUGAAGUCGGAAUCGCUAGUAAUCGCGGAUCAGCAUGCCGCGGUGAAUACGUUCCCGGGCCUUGUACACACCGCCCGUCACACCAUGAGAGUUUGUAACACCCAAAGUCGGUGGGGUAACCUUUUAGGAACCAGCCGCCUAAGGUGGGACAGAUGAUUAGGGUGAAGUCGUAACAAGGUAGCCGUAGGAGAACCUGCGGUUGGAUA
rnacentral:rRNA from 2 species